CAAGAACAAAGUACUCGAUCCAGCUAUCCGGGAAGUCUGGCCGAACACAGCAGAAGCUUGAGCAUCGGGAUGAAGCUUGAGAGUGGAAAGACCCCGAGUCUGAGAAGAGGGAGGGCGUGCCAGCAGGAGACAUCUGCAGCCAGGAGCGACGGGUGUUCUCAUGUACUCUCGACUUAGCUCUGGACUGAAGAUGAAGUCGUGUGGAAGGCUGAAACUCUCAACAUGUAAAGUCCUCUUGGCUUGCCAGAUAACAACUGUUAGAGCUUCCUUAAGAAAAUAGGAGAGCGAAUCCAAACUAUGGUGCCAAGCUUUUCCAUACCAAAAUUGACACCAGCCCAUGAUUCUGCUUCAUGUAAACUAACCACUUGCCAUAUUUCCCAUUAGAGGCAAAACCCUAUGCCUGAGUUAUUUUGUUCUUUUAUGUGCUCCGAGUUAUCCCAAAUAGGAAGAUAUUUCCUUGUGUCCUGGGGCCCAAAACCCAUAAUCAUCAGCAGGAGUUUGGGUUUAUGGGUGGUCUACUGUUGGAGGAGACUCUGGGUCCACUCGUACACUCUGGAUAAAAUUCAAAGAAGCCACCAGGAAAGGAAAGAGCAUAAAGGAGAACAAAACCACAAGCUGAGCUGAGUGUAAGCAGCAGAGAGAUUUAGCUGUCUUGUCCUUACCCAGGACACACUCAGAGGUUGAGGCGAAAACUCAAGCACUCCCAGGGGCUUCUCCAGUACGAGUCUCCUUUCACCAGAGACAGCUGGGCACGUCCUUCAUUGCCGACAACUGGAACAAGAAUGUAGGGACAGAACCAGCCACACUGUGGACUUGGCUUUCCAACACUUGCUGUCAAAUUCGUUGAUGAGUUCCAACUACCCACAGCAACUCCCACUGCAGCCCAGGCUCUAGGAGAACCUCCAAGACCCUGAACUGUCCCUCUAACCCUGUUUGUGAUUCUAUUCUAUCUGAAAAC
rnacentral:lncRNA from 1 species